UACAGAGGUCUCAAGCGUUUGUUCGGAUUCAUUGGGCGUAAAGGGUGCGUAGGUGGCGCCGUAAGUCAGGUGUGAAAUUUCGGAGCUUAACUCCGAAACUGCAUUCGAUACUGCGGUGCUUGAGGACUGGAGAGGAGACUGGAAUUCAUGGUGUAGCAGUGAAAUGCGUAGAGAUCAUGAGGAAGACCAGUGGCGAAGGCGGGUCUCUGGACAGUUCCUGACACUGAGGCACGAAGGCCAGGGGAGCAAACGGG
rnacentral:rRNA from 1 species